UAUGAUACACAAAAAAAAAUAUUCCCAUUGAUCCUAAAAUCUGCUACACAACAAUACCAACUCUCAAAACCUGCAAAUCACCUUUCAACAUCGCGAAUUUAAUCGAGAUCGAAUCUAGGGCUUGUAACUUGUGCGGAUGAUAACUCCUUCAAUUCUUAACCUUUUCAGAAUUCCACAUAUUCCAGUUCGUGCGUUAAUUCUCGUGGAACGUCUCUUCGCAACCUGUUUUUCAAAGUUGAUGAUCAAGUGAUGUGGACACGUAGCAUGGGCCUUAGGAAAUUAAAUUGAAAUCUUGAUAUGUUUGUUUUGAACAAUGUAUGAACAAUUUUGACUAUUAUAUGUUAUGUGAUUAUUUAAAUGGUUA